AAACUGACAUCAGACGCAGAGAAGCAAUCCGUGAUGUUGUUUGGACAGAACCUCCGCCAGCUCCUUUUAACAGUCCUGUUCCAGGUCGCAUCUUGAUGGGAGUAGAUCCCUGGUUACAAACAUGGAUGCAAAACUAGCCAUCAUUUCUCCUACUAGUCAGAUUCUUCAUACUGAUGUGGUUUAUUUGCACUGUGGACAAGGCUUCCGGAGGCAGAGAAGAUCAAGAGGCUUUUGCUGGAUUUCAACUGCAGCACAGUGGUGAUUGGAAAUGGAACUGCCUGCCGGGAGACCCGAAGCGUACUUUGCCGAACCUGAUCACGAGAAAUUACUUUGCACCGCUGGAUGUUGUUU